UAUAUUUAUUUAUUCAAAUGCAUUUUAAAUAUUUUAAGAAUUUAUGAAAUUAAAAUAAUUUUAGAAUUUUACGUUGAAAAGAAAUCGAAUUGCGAAACCGAUUGAAUUUAGAAAACUAUCCUUACCGAUUUUAGAUUGAAAUCCUAAAACUAAAUCCUAAUUCUAAGCCCAUUUGGUAAAGCCCAAAAUAUCAAACCCACAACUCUCCUCCACUCUCCUCUCUUUCAAUUUCACGUGAAAAACAAAACACCCAAACCCUCCUUCUUUUUGCAACUUCACGUGAACAGGAACCACAAACCCCUUGCUUCAGCCACCAGCCCUCCUCCACCGUCGCACCACAGUACCUGGUUGCAGCUGUCAACCCGCCGUCGCUGCCCUGCCCAGCCGCCGGCCUUUCUUCGCUGCUCCCUUCUCCUUCGCGAGCACCAUUGUUCCCUCUUCUCCCUCGUGCUUGUCUCACUCUCUCACGUCACUGCAGAUGCAUCGCCAGCCUCCGCGACCGCCGCACAACCACCGUGCGUCCAUCUGACGCCGUCCGACGUACUCCUCCUCCUGGUCCCGCUGCCGCGCCGCCCUGCCGCCGGCCAUCACUCCUUCUUUUCUUAUUUUGGUGGAGAAUUCUCUUUAGGCGACUUUUAAAAGUGUUAAAGUGACGUAUCAGUUUGUUUACACAAGGUGGAGAAUUCUCUUUAGGCGACUUUUAAAAGUGUUAAAGUGACGUAUCAGUUUGUUUACACAAGUCCCUAAGGAUCAAUAAGCGUUGCCCAUCUACAGGUUUGAAGAUGAUGCAUCAUUGGGAUCGGGAUUAGAGAGCUUGUAGUUCAUUUGAUUUUCUAAGUUGGAUUCGGUUUGUUUAAGUGGACUCUAAAACUUAUUGAAUUAGUAACAUUAACUUUGUUUUUCGUUGAUUGGUUUUUGGGAUUUAUUCUGAAAAUGAUUAUUUAUAAACUUACAGUUAGUUUUAUGUUUUCCGCUGCAAAAUUCUGAAUAAGCCGUUAC